GCUGGGCGUGGUGGCGGGUGCCUGUAGUCCCAGCUACUGGGAAGGCUGAGGCAGCAUAAUCGGCUGCUCGGGAAGCUGAGGGGGGAGAAUCGCUUGAACCUGGGAGGUGGAGGUUGCAGUGAGCCGAGAUCGCACCAUUGCAUUCCAGCCUGGUCAACAAGAGCGAAACUUCGUCUCAAAAAGAAAAAAAAAAAGGUUUGAGUAAUGAAAGAAGGAAUUUAUAAUUCUGUUAAGCAAUUUUCCAGUCUCUGCUGUCAGGCCUCUCAGCCGAAGCUCAACCAUUGUAACCCCUGUGACUUGCACAUAUGCGUCCAGAUGGCCUGCGGGAGCCAAGAAGUCUGGGGCAGCCAAAAACCCACAAAAGAAGUAAAACAGCCACUUCCUGCCUUAACUGAUUAACAAACAUUCCACCAUUGUGACUGGUCCCUGCCCUACCUUAACUGAUCAACCAUCCUUGUGACAUUCUUCUUCUGGACAAUAAGUCUUAUGAUCUCCCCAUCAUGUACCUUGUGACCCCCUCCCCUGCUAACAAUAGAUAACAACCACCUUUUACUGUAAUUUUCCAUUACCUACCUAAAUCCUAUAAAGCAACCCCUUCCCCAUCUCCCUUCAUUGAUUCUCUUUUCGGACUCAGCCCACUUGCACCCAAGUGAAUAAACAGCCUUGUUGCUCACACAAAGCCUGUUGGUGGUCUCUUCACACGGAUGCAUUUGACAUUUGGUGCUAUGACUUGGAUCGGGGGACCUUCCUUGGGAGAUCAAUCCCCUGUCCUCCCGCUCUUUGCUCCGUGAGGAAGAUCUACCUACGACCUCGGGUCCUCAGACCAGCCCAAGGAACAUCUCACCAAUUUUAAAUCGGUGACCCACUGGAAAUCAGACCGCCCAGCUCACCCGGCAGCCACUUCCAGAGCCCAGCCCCUAAAGCUCUGGCCCAAGGGUCUCUGACUGACUCCUUACCAGACCUGCUCAGCUUAGUGGCUGAAGACUGACGCUGCCCAAUCACCUUGGAAGCCCCCUGGACCAUCAUGGAUGCCAAGCUUCGGGUAACUUUCACAGUGGAGGACAGGAAUGUCAGGCCUCUGCGCCGAAGCUCAGCCAUUGUAACCCCUGUGACUUGCACAUAUGUGUCCAGAUGGCCUGCAGGAGCCAAGAAGUCUGGGGCAGCUGAAAAACCACAAAAGAAGUAAAACAGCCAGUUCCUGCCUUAACAGAUUAACCAACAUUCCACCAUUCCACCAUUGUGACUGGUCCCUGCCCUACCUUAAUGGAUCGAUUGACCUUGUGACAUUCUUCUUCUGGACAAUGAGUCUUAUGAUCUCCCUACCAUGUACCUUGUGACCCCCCUCCUCUGCUAACAAUAGAUAACCACCUUUUAGUGUAAUUUUCCAUUACCUACCCAACUCCUAUAGGGCAACCCCUUCCCCAUCUCCCUUCGCUGACUCUCUUUUCAGACUCAGCCCACUUGCACCCAAGUGAAUAAACAGCCUUGUUGCUCACACAAAGCCUGUUGGUGGCGUCUUCACACAGACAUGCGUGACAUCUGCUCACCCACCUCUAAUACUGCAGAUUGAACAGUUCCCUUUGGAAAGCCCUUCCUGAUGUUGAGCUAAAAUGUCUUCCUGUCAUGUCCAUUCAUUAGUAGAAUAAACAUUUUAUCCAAAUGAGGCUGAUUAAACCAGAGGUUUAUGCAAAGGUGUAUGCAUCAAAGAUAGUGAUUUCCUGAGUGGAAGAAUUAAAUACCAGCUAAGAGUGAUUACAUAAAGCAUGGACCUUUUAUCUCUAUAGAAAAAACGCUACCUGACAAUAUUUCAAGUUAGAAUUUUGCUUUUCUUUUUCUCAAGUCAGGGUCUCAUUCUGUCACACAGACUGGAGUGCAGUGGUGCGAUCAUGCUGGCUAAUUUUUAAAUUUUUUGUAGACAGGGUCUGCUAUGUUGCCCAGGUUGGUCUAGAGCUCCUGGGCUCAAGGGAUCCUCCUACCUUGGCCUCCCAAAGUGCUGGGAUUACAGGCAUGAGGCACCUCGCCCAGCCCAAAUUAGGAUUUUUCUGGAGUGUAUAUUAGCACUUUCCUGAAAGGCAGCAAAUGUUUCAAAAGUUCACACCCUUUAACUCAAUAAUUACACAUCUAGGAAUCUUAUUCUCUGAAAAUAGUAUAGCAUGGAAAACGUUUUUUGCACAAAUUUUUGUUUUUUUAACCACAGUGUUUCUUUUAAAAUGUUAUUAAAAGAAUAAAAACAACCAAAAAUGUUCCUCAGAAGCAAUAUGUAAAUUCUGAAUACCAGAUAAACUACUAGGCAAGCAUCUAAAAUAAAGUUUACAGAUUUUCUUAAAACAUGAUGAAAUACUUGUGUAUUCAAUGGAUAUUCCAAGGCUCAGCUUCUAUAAAAAAAAUCUAACUCUGAGUAAGGGGAUCCAUAACAG
rnacentral:lncRNA from 1 species